GCCUGGGGGCUGCAGGCACCUCGUUUGGGCAGGGACUUACAAAAGCCAGGAGCAUUUCACUUCAUUUUGCAGGUUGUUUCUCAUUUCUCGUUCCGUUUCUGGCAGCGUGUAAUAUUUCUGCUGGUUAGAAGCUGUCCUAUGGUGCAGAGGCCCCAUGAAGAAGGUUACGUACCAGUGAGGACUCGGAUCUGCGGGUCUGAAUCAUCCUUUUACUUAGCUGCUCGCAGUGAUGCAAUGUGCGUGCAGAUUGCGGGCGGUGUAUUUCGCAUCGACUCGUUGGUGUGUAAAUGAGCGUGCUCGGUGCAGCCUGCAGCCAGGCUGCGCUUUCCACGGCACAGAUAGCUCUGCCCUUUGCUGCUUCUCUGCUGUGAUGGAGUUUGGGGCUCCGGGAGCACCUCGGGGACCUGUUAACCCCUGGGGAGCUCCGGCACCGGGACGGGAUGCACCGAGCAGUGGUUGUGCCUUGGGAAGCAGCAAGGGAAUCAUUGCACAAGACCAGCUUGUUUGAAAGGAAGGUUUUGUAAAUCGUGUUCACUUUGUUGGUGAUCUGCAAGGGAUGACUCCUCUUUGCCAGGCAGGGAUGGCAGGAAACCGUCCAAGAGACACAGGCUGUUCCUUUUCCUGCCCGUGGGACGUGUGACAUGACAAAACCACAACCCACACCAGACUCCCUGCCCCAUUUUCCCUCCACAAAUGCUGAAUAAUUUUGUCCCUUCUUCAUGAACAUGGGGAAAAUCCUCAGUCCGUGUGUCUCUGCUUUGGCACCUCUGGCAGCUCCCUGUGCCCCGGGGUGGCCCUGAUGUGGGAUACAGAGCAGGAGCAGAAAGGAUUCCUCGUGACGCUGCUCCUCAGGGUUAAAAUUUAACCUGUUCCUACCUGGAAACAGCACCAUAUUUCAGGCUGAUUCAUACUAUUUCUUAUUGGGGAGCAAGACCAAAGACUGUUGGGGAAAGCGCUCAUUAAGACCCGGGUGAUCAUCGGGGAGUGCUGUCUGCUGGAAUUACAUGUACGCACGUGGCUCCCUAGCUCUGAAAUGUCAUCUAAGCUGGAGAACACAGUGUCAAACCAUCUGUCAGCAAUGGAUAUUUGGGUUAGUCUCUUCUGGAGGAAACAAAGCUGUGAAAAUCCAGUGGCUUCUGCCAGGGGGUUUUGGGACAGCUGAUGGCACGUGGUCUCAUGGGACAGUGAAAUGGCUUGGACACGCCAGGAUGGUGGCCAGAUCUCACCUCCAGCUCUCCCACACCCAGCACAAGCGCUGCUCCGGGUGCAGAAAAUGCUGCCAGGUACCCAAAAUCAAUCAGGAGUGAGUCACGCGCGUGACGCUGUUAUUAUUGUUAUUUUUUCCAGCGGCACCGUGUUCCCAUGGAGAACAGAGGCUUCCCAGCACAAACACAGCCCCAGCGCUGCUCCGCUGCAGCCCCUCUCCAGGUACCCGGAUGGGAGGCGAGGAUGAGAACGGACCAGGCUGUUCUCACCUCACGUGUAUUCAUUUCACGGUUAACAGGGAAACCAAGCACUUCAUUUUUCUGCUCUUUUGGGCCCUUGAAGGAUGGUUUUCUUGCUUCCUUCCCAAGGCUCAAGCAGCAAUAAAUUGCUUUGCAUUAUCAUGGUGCUUCAUGCAAAUGGUUAACCUUGAUUUCGGUACACGCUACACAACGCCACCUUCCCAGCAAGGUCGAAUUCCAAAUAAUCCUUCAAGGAGGAAUGAAAUAAAGUCGGUGCUGUUCCUGGAGCCCUGGCCCACAAAGACUUUGUCUCCAUCUC